GACGAACGCUGGCGGCGUACUUAACACAUACAAGUCGAACGGAAAGGCCCUGCUUUUGUGGGGUGCUCGAGUGGCGAACGGGUGAGUAACACGUGAGUAACCUGCCCUUGACUUUGGGAUAACUUCAGGAAACUGGGGCUAAUACCGGAUAGGAGCUCCUGCUGCAUGGUGGGGGUUGGAAAGUUUCGGCGGUUGGGGAUGGACUCGCGGCUUAUCAGCUUGUUGGUGGGGUAGUGGCUUACCAAGGCUUUGACGGGUAGCCGGCCUGAGAGGGUGACCGGCCACAUUGGGACUGAGAUACGGCCCAGACUCCUACGGGAGGCAGCAGUGGGGAAUAUUGCACAAUGGGCGGAAGCCUGAUGCAGCAACGCCGCGUGCGGGAUGACGGCCUUCGGGUUGUAAACCGCUUUCGCCUGUGACGAAGCGUGAGUGACGGUAAUGGGUAAAGAAGCACCGGCUAACUACGUG
rnacentral:rRNA from 1 species